rnacentral:miRNA from 1 species
GCUGACACGUCCCGGCCAAUCUCCAGCAGACCCUCCCUCCCAGACCCUCCUACUUCCUGGACAGCAUCCAUGUUUUCAAAACAUGGAUGCUGUCCAGGAAGUAGGAGGGUCUGGGAGGGAGGGUCUGCUGGAGAUUGGCCGGGACGUGUCAG